AACGUAGGAGGCGAGCGUUAUCCGGAUUUACUGGGUGUAAAGCGCGUGCAGGCGGUGGUGUAAGUGGAGCGUGAAAGCGCCCGGCUCAACCGGGCGAGGACGUGCCAAACUGCACGACUGGAGGUAGGUAGAGGCGUGUGGAAUUCCGGGUGUAGUGGUGAAAUGCGUAGAGAUCCGGAGGAACACCAGUGGCGAAGGCGACACGCUGGGCCUGACCUGACGCUAAGACGCGAAAGCAUGGGGAGCGAACGGG
rnacentral:rRNA from 1 species